UUGCCCGUUGAAAUUGCAAAAAGUAAAUCAUUUUGCGAAUUAUAUUGGAGGAAAAGUCUGGUGCCAGCACCCGCGGUAAUUCCAGCUCCAAUAAGAAAUAUUAAAGUUGUUGCUGUUAAAAAGCUCGUAGUUGAAAUUCUGGGCUUUAUGUUUAGGCCGGGUAACUAGUCUUGCAUAAAGUUUAUCUGUCUGUUAAUCAAUUUGUUAUUCGCGUAACAUUUUGAAGCUCAGGCAUUUUACUGUGAGAAAAUUAGAGUGUUUCAGGCAGGCUUAGCCGGAAUAUAUUAGCAUGGAAUAAUGGAAUGGGCUAGAAAUCCAUGGUUAGAUGGAGAUUUAGUCACGGUUAAUAGGAACGGUUGGGGGUGAUAGUAUUUAAUUAUUAGAGGUGAAAUUCUUGGAUUUGUUAAAGACUAACAUAUGCAAGGCAUUCGCCAAGGAUGUUUUCAUUAAUCAAGAACGAAAGUUUGGGGAUCAAAUGAGAUCAGACACCUCAGUAGUCCAAACCAUAAACUAUGCCGACUAGAGAUUGGAGGAAUCCAAUGUUCCUUCAGCAUCUUAGAGAAAUUAAAGUUUUUGGGUUCAGGGGGAAGUAUGGUCGCAAGACUGAAACUUAAAGGAAUUGACGGAAUGAUACCACAAGAAGUGGAGCCUGCGGUUCAAUUUGACCCAACACGGGAAAACUUACUAACUUAAGACUCGGGAAGGAUAGACAGAUUAAUCGUUCUUUCUUAAUUCCGAGGAUAGUGGCGCAUGGCCGUUCUAAGCCAGUGAUGUGAAUUGCCUGGUUAAUUCCGAUAACAAGCGAGACCAUUGCCUGCUAACUAGUUGUUUAGGUUCACUAAAAUAACUUCUUAGAGGGACUGUGUACGUUAAGUAUAAGGAAGUUAAUGGCAAUAACAGGUCAGUGAUGCCCUAAGAUAAGCUAGGCCACACGCGUGUUACACUGAUGCAUUUUAACAAGUUUAAAGUAUUGAAAAACUACUUUUAAUCAUCAAUAUGCAUCGUGAUGGGAAUAGAUCUUUGUAAUUAUCGAUCUUGAACGAGGAAUUUCUUGUAAGCGUUUGUCAUCAUCGAGCGCUGAAUAAGUCCCUAUCAUUUGUACACACCGCCCAUCGCUUCCACUAAAUCCGGGUAAUUAUGCGAAUUUAACUGAUUUCGAAAGUAAUUUUGCAUGAAGUUACGUGAGCAUGAUUACCUUGA
rnacentral:rRNA from 1 species